AGCUUUCAGAAUCCAUGCUGAGAUUUCUUCAGACAUCAGCACAUUAGAGCUGAUUAUACUUUCAAGAUUAGUGAAGUU
rnacentral:pre_miRNA from 1 species